AACGAACGCUGGCGGCAGGCCUAACACAUGCAAGUCGAACGCCCCGCAAGGGGAGUGGCAGACGGGUGAGUAACACGUGGGAACGUGCCCAAAGGUACGGAACAACUCCGGGAAACUGGAGCUAAUACCGUAUGUGCCCGAAAGGGGAAAGAUUUAUCGCCUUUGGAUCGGCCCGCGUCUGAUUAGCUAGUUGGGGGGGUAAUGGCCUACCAAGGCGACGAUCAGUAGCUGGUCUGAGAGGAUGACCAGCCACACUGGGACUGAGACGCGGCCCAGACUCCUACGGGAGGCAGCAGUGGGGAAUAUUGGACAAUGGGCGAAAGCCUGAUCCAGCCAUGCCGCGUGAGUGAUGAAGGCCUUAGGGUUGUAAAGCUCUUUCGCCAGGGACGAUGAUGACGGUACCCCGGGAAGAAGCCCCGGCUAACUACGUGCCAGCCGCCGCAGAAACAC
rnacentral:rRNA from 1 species